UUUCCAGCUGCUUUUGGACUACAAUUCCCAUCAUCCCUGGCCACUGGUCUUGCUAGGUAGUGAUGAUGGGAGUUGUAGUCCAAAAACAGCUGGGGA